rnacentral:rRNA from 1 species
UACGUAGGUGACAAGCGUUAUCCGGCAUUACUGGGCGUAAAGCGCACGCAGGCGGCUGCGUAAGUCUGACGUGAAAUCUCCCGGCUUAACCGGGAGCGGUCGUUGGAAACUAUGCGGCUUGAGGCGAUGAGAGGGGUGUGGAAUUCCCGGUGUAGUGGUGGAAUGCGUAGAUAUCGGGAGGAACAUCAGUGGCGAAAGCGGCACCCUGGCAUUAGCCUGACGCUCAGGUGCGAAAGCGUGGGGAGCGAACGGG